rnacentral:rRNA from 1 species
CCUACGGGUGGCAGCAGUGGGGAAUAUUGCGCAAUGGAGGCAACUCUGACCCAGCAACGCCGCGUGAAUGAUGAAGGUCUUCGGUUUGUAAACUUCUUUUAUCAGGGAAGAAAAAAGCGCCAGUACAUUAGGAAUCACCCUCGAGCAACUACGUGCCAGCAGCGGCAGUAAUACGUAGGGGGCAGUCGUUAUCCGGAAUGAGUGGGCGUAAAGGGGGCGUAGGUGGUUGGACAAGUUAGUAGCGAAACUCAGGAGCUCAACUUCGGAACUACUUUUAAAACAGUAUGACUUGAUUGCAGGAGAGGUAAGUGGAAUUCCUAGUGUAGCGGUGGAAUGCGUAGAUAUUAGGAGGAACACCAGUGGCGAAGGCGGAUUACUAGACUGUAAAUGACACUGAGGCUCGAAAGCGUGGGGAGCAAACAGGAUUAGAUACCCCUGUAGUC